AGAGCCCACGUGGUCGCGGAGGGGUAAGGACGUCCGCCGACUGACUCGCUCCCUCCGUCGGUCGAGUGGCGAAGAAGUUUGUCACGGGGACGAGGCCAGCAAGUUCAUCAGUGAUUCAGUGUGUCGCCUGAGGACUUCACGUGUGCUGGAGGCCAUUGCUGGAAACGAGGAGCUGUCUUUUCAAGCAUGGUAAGGCUGCCCCUGAUCACACCAUACUUGCAUCCAGCACCUCAUCGCUGCCCGUUCCGAAGCAACCAACUGCCGGGAUCACCUUGGUGGGCUCCACUUCUUCAAGGGUCCCUGUGAUGAAGCUCCUGGGGCAGAGGAAGCAUUUCAAAGGGAAGAAAGAAAAGAAAAAAUAGCCCACUACUCACUGCUCCUACAAGAGAGUCCAGAUGAGUGGCAGAAAGAUGGGUCAAUUUCGGGAGUAGAGGUGUCCUGAUACCCUCCUGAAAGAGUAAAGUUGUGUAUAUAUAUAUCUUGCGUUGAUCUCUUUAUAAGUUGUUUUUUUCUAUAUGAUGCACAUUGGUGCCGUCUUCUGGACUUAGCGGCCGAGAGUCAGCGCGGCACUUAGCCAGUCAGCCUUCAGCUUCAUGCUUGCUGUAUUUUGUAGGGAGCGACAUGUCGGGUUGUUGCUGGAUGUUUCUUAAUUUAUAUAACUUAUCUCGCUUUUUUUACAUAUUAAGUUGAAUUUCCCAUGUUUUAGUUAUUACACCAUUUCAUGUGAGAUUUAAUUAACUGUGUUUUAUGCCCUUUUCUUUUUGUCGAUGUAAAAUGGGGCAGUUAAUGUUAUAUUAUUCAUGUUUCUUGUCGGUGAUAUAGUUUGCAUUCACUUCUUCUAGCUUCUAUAUUAUGUUCAAAGGUUCUUCUUCUCAAAAUGAAUAUAUCUCCCAGAGUAGAUGGUGACACUACACUUGUACGAAAAUUUUAAGACUCCAUUUUUACGUUUAUUUCACUAAGGUUUCCAUUUGAAGGUUUUAGAUUAUGGACCAUAAUUGUAUACAUCAUUUGACCCGAUAGGUAGACUAAAUUGUGGUCAAUGAAAUUACUUACCUUGUCGCAGAUUUCUUUUUUGCAUUUGAUAAGGUGAUCCGUCAUUGGCUUCCAUAAAGUGCUUGUGGUGACGCCAAUGAUGUGCCCGUGUGUGCGACCAAAGUCCUGCACCUGUUGUAGAGGACUUGUUGAAGGUAAACAGCUGAUUUUCAUGAUCAGGUUGGUUGUUUACUCUCAAUAAGUUGUUAAAGGUAAAUGGUUGUUCUGGAUCAUGAAGAACAGCUGUUUACCUUCAUGUCCCCCUACAGGAGGUGAAGGUCAUGCACCACCACACACACACACACACACACACACACACACACACAUGGCAUGGCAAAACACACACACCACACGCACCCACACACACACGAUCAUGAAGAUCAGCACGCAUGUACUUUUGUGGACUUUGGUCGCCUACACACGGGUACAUCGGCGUCACCACAACCACUAUCGAAGCGAAUGAGUCGGUGAAGCUUACUUAAAAUAUAUUUCUAUAAUGUAAAUUUUCAGCCUGACGGAUGCCCCAUCUGAUUUUAUUUUUAUUUAUUUAUUUAUUUUAUUUAUUUAUUUUUUUAAGUAUACACCUAUAGCACCGGUAGGCUUUUUCUUGAGGGGGCCUGGAUGGUAGUCGGCCCCAGCCCGUCAUGGCGCAGGCCAGUGUUUAUAGUGGUGCCAUCUUCUCUGGGCUCAUGCUGCCCCCCCGGAAUGCGUUCUUGAUCCACUUGGACGGUUUCCUCUAGAGUCCAGGUUUAUGGGUGGUCUUCAGGACAUCAUGUGGGUAGUUUUAAGCCGCUCGGCGGUGACUGAAACAUCCAAGGUCGUAGCGUGGGGAUUCGAACCCACGUCGUCUGUCACGCGAUGAAUGUUGUCCAGCGCGUUUUUCCUCGGGGUCUUGCUUCUUGGCAUGGCAAAACACACACACCACACACGCACACCCACCCACCACACAUGCACCACACACACCACACAAACAUAUACACACACACACGCUACACAAACAUAUAUACACACACACACAUACACACACGCCCUUGUCUAUCAGCAACUCGGCCAUUAAAUCUCCAACCAGAAGACUGUGCCAGUGUGCGUGAUAUAG